rnacentral:rRNA from 1 species
CACCGCGGUUAUACGAGAGACCCAAGUUGACAGAUCACGGCGUAAAGGGUGGUUAAGAAACUAUACUAAACUAAAGUCGAACGCCCCCAGUACUGUGAUACGUCUCCGAGGGCAUGAAGCCCAGCCACGAAAGUGACUUUAUUAAUUCUGACCCCACGAAAGCUGAGAAA